UUAAUUCGAUACAACGCGCAAAACCUUACCAACCCUUGACAUAUGAACAACAAAACCUUAACGGGAUGGUACUUACUUUCAUACAGGUGUUGCAUAGCUGUCGUCAGCUCGUGUCGUGAGAUGUUUGGUCAAGUCCUAUAACGAGCGAAACCCUCAUUUUGUGUUGCUGAGACAUGCGUCUAAGGCAAAUUUAGUUUGCAAUCGAAGCACGCCGAAGAGCCGAGUGACGUGCCAACCGGUGUUUUGUCUUUUUAUUUUUUAAUAUACAAUAAGAUUAUGUAUAUGACCUUAGGGUCAAAAACAUUUAAGUCAUUGAAAUAGGGGUA
rnacentral:rRNA from 1 species